CGGAAGAAGAAGAAAAAUAAAAUGACAGCCGCAGUCGGCGCCGGCGCCUACACCAGUUCUUGUUGCCGAUCUACUAAAAAUGCUUUUUUUAAGGCGCUCUUUCGCAGACAAAAGAGGAAUAACUGAGAAAGGAAGACCUACCCCCAAACUGAAUGAGCUAACAAAGGUUUUGUGCGCUAUUUCAAAGAUUACAACUAUGAAUGGCUAACAGCUAGCACCAAGCACAAGAAGUUAUUUGGCCAUGUUUACUUUUUAAUACGAGUAAAGGGACAUGGAAUGACAGACGCAUGGACUUUCUUUACAAGUGACAGGUGGAUGACAGCAUGACGGUGAAAGUGAGCAUUGCUGCAAGAGUGUGGCAUGAAAUGAGAGCUGCUGGAUGCUGACCAUCUCCCUCAGCUGUGUCUUUAGGUGUGGGACCUAAACUCAAGACUGUGCAACUGAGGCUACAAGCAGGCAUCAGCCAGUACAGUAAAACUGGCGCAUAAUCCGGCAGAGUGCUGCAUGGAGCUCUCAGCCAGUCCUCAUUAACCUGCCGUAUCCUCAACUCAGACCUGUGUGGAUGACAUCCUUUGAGGAGCCAGGAGUGUGAGCUCAUUAAACAAGCCCACACACACUGCCUACCUCGGGUCAAGAGUAUCUACUGUAGCCACCCUCUCUGUUCCCCUGGCUGACUGAUGCCGUUAAGAUGUCAAAGCGUUUCACGUAAAGCCCUCCACUUUAGUGACGAUGAGUUGGCCAGGUGAGAGGAGAAGAGCACAGGACAGCCGCGCUAAGAAGGUCACCAAUUUCAAAAAAAAUUUUUUCAAGUAGACUAAUUUCCAUGACUGAAAAACAUUAGGUUUACUCUCCUCACAUUUUUCAACUUAUAGGCCUGAUGGAAAUUCAGGCCUACUGUAUUUAGGCAUAAAUAACAGGAAAUUCAGGCCUACUGUAUGUGAGGAAAAAUGCGUUAGGAAACGUUCAAAUUAAAUGAGCCCUUGAGAGUAAUCUUUUACAUACAAUUCUUUUAUCAAGUUGGCUUGAAAUAUGCUUUGCGCUGUUGCCAUUUUCUUUGUUUUGGCUCUAUGCAGUGGUUUUUCUAAAGGGUCAAUGACAUUCUGUGCCCUUUCCAGUUUACAGUCUGAUUAUGUCACAUCAGCUUGUGAAAGCCCACUGAUGUCAGUGGUGCCGUAAAAAAACAACUGGCUUCUUUGAAAUUUUUAAAUUGUGGACUCUGAAUGAACAUUGUUGCUAGGCACUCCAGUAACCUUGUCCCGUUUAAUCUCUUUUUUUUUAUAAUCUGUAAAAUCAUGGGUUUUACAAACAAAAAUAAUUUU